ensembl:lncRNA
ACGGCCGGCCCUAAACCAACGCCCGGCUCUGGUGCAAGGCGUUAAAACCGAAGGACAAACAACACGCGAGGGAACUCUGGGAACCUCCAUCUUUGAAACGCCCUAAUCCCCCUCCACCUCUGCCUCCUCCACCCUUAACCCCUCCAACCUCCUCACCUGUCGUCAGAAGGCCUGAACGGGUCGCUGCUAUGGCAACCGUGGAAACCUGUUUACAGGCGCGGCCCACGGUCCGCCUUAACCGGAGAAACGCAGGAGGAAGUAAAGCUGAACACCUCAGGAAAACAGGAAGGACAGAGGCAACAGCAACAACAACAAUAACAACAACAACAACAACGACGAUGACAGCGUUGGCGACGAGAGAGAUGGAGUAUCAGCCUCCCGGUCCUCCAGACGUCAGGAGGAGCAGGGAGGGUAAAGGACGACCUGAGGGCUGGGCUGCUACCCCGGGGAUCGAACCCGGGACCUUUGGGACGGACUCACCUUCAUCCGUAUGAUGGCGUUGACCCAGCUAACCUGGCUCUCCUUCUCCUCACAGCAGAAGUACCUGCAGACCGG